rnacentral:rRNA from 1 species
CCUACGGGAGGCAGCAGUGGGGAAUAUUGCACAAUGGGGGAAACCCUGAUGCAGCGACGCCGCGUGAGUGAAGAAGUAUUUCGGUAUGUAAAGCUCUAUCAGCAGGGAAGAAAAUGACGGUACCUGACUAAGAAGCCCCGGCCAACUACGUGCCAGCAGCCGCGGUAAUACGUAGGGGGCAAGCGUUAUCCGGAUUUACUGGGUGUAAAGGGAGCGUAGAGAGUGAUGCAAGUCAGAAGUGAAAGCCCAGGGCUCAACGCCGGGACUGCUUUUGAAACUGUGUGACUGGAGUGCAGGAGAGGUAAGCGGAAUUCCUGGUGUAGCGGUGAAAUGCGUAGAUAUCAGGAGGAACACCAGUGGCGAAGGCGGCUUACUGGACUGUAACUGACGUUGAGGCUCGAAAGCGUGGGGAGCAAACAGGAUUAGAUACCCUUGUAGUC